AACGAACGCUGGCGGCACGCCUAACACAUGCAAGUCGAGCGCACCUUCGGGUGAGCGGCGGACGGGUUAGUAACGCGUGGGAACAUACCCUUUUCUACGGAAUAGCCUCGGGAAACUGAGAGUAAUACCGUAUACGCCCUUCGGGGGAAAGAUUUAUCGGUGAAGGAUUGGCCCACGUUAGAUUAGAUAGUUGGUGGGGUAAUGGCCUACCAAGUCGACGAUCUAUAGCUGGUUUGAGAGGAUGAUCAGCAACACUGGGACUGAGACACGGCCCAGACUCCUACGGGAGGCAGCAGUGGGGAAUCUUAGACAAUGGGCGAAAGCCUGAUCUAGCGAUGCCGCGUGUGUGAUGAAGGUCUUAGGAUCGUAAAGCACUUUCGCCAGGGAUGAUAAUGACAGUACCUGGUAAAGAAACCCCGGCUAACUCCGUGCCAGCAGCCGCGGUAAUACGGAGGGGGUUAGCGUUGUUCGGAAUUACCGGGCCGUAAAGCGCGCGUAGGCGGAUUAGUCAGUCAGAGGUGAAAUCCCAGGGCUCAACCCUGGAACUGCCUUUGAUACUGCUAGUCUUGAGUUCGAGAGAGGUGAGUGGAAUUCCGAGUGUAGAGGUGAAAUUCGUAGAUAUUCGGAGGAACACCAGUGGCGAAGGCGGCUCACUGGCUCGAUACUGACGCUGAGGUGCGAAAGCGU
rnacentral:rRNA from 1 species